AACGCAGAAGUAACCGAGGGGGAAGGGGGAGUGGGAAGGAAGAGGAAGAAGAAGAAGAAAGGAAAGAAAAGAAAAAGAAAAAGAGAAAAAGAAAAAGAAAGAAAAAAGGAAAAGAAAAAAAAAAAGAAAAGGAAAAAAACUUCCAAAAAACUUCUUAAAAAAACUUCUUAAAAAAACUUUAAAAAAUUUUUCAUCUUAAAAAAUUUUUCCAAAAACUUCUACAGUACACUACAGUAAAGUUUUAGACAAAUUCCUAAAAAACUCAGGUUCCAAACAGGCCCUGUGUUGUUCUGUAUGAAUAGGUACUCAAAUUGGAAGCUGCACAAGUUGACUCGUGUCACUCACCUUAUGUUUUGGCAAAUAAUAUUUAAAAAUGCGAUGGUAACUUUCGAAAACUAUUUCCUCAAUAAUUAUUUCUCAACAGUAACGUGGAGUAUUUUAAAAUUUAAAAUUAUUACUACCUAAAUAUAAGAAACACUUAUUUCAUUAUGUAACAGUGAACUUAGUAUGAGAAUAUGACACUAAAAGGGAAUGGUAGAACCUCCCAAUAACAUUACCACAAUUCAAAUUUUUAUGUCAAAACAAAAUUUUCAAAAAUGAUAGAUCAUGCUUGAAUGUAAUCUUAACUUGAAGAUGGUAAAUUUAACAAAUUAUUCAAAAACUUCUGGUCCAUUAGAAUUAGAAUUUUGAAAUUAACAUCUUCCUUUCAAUUUUCCAUAAAUAAAAGGAUUCCUUGAUUUGCAUAAACGUGAAUUAUGAGGUAAUAAUGAACGACAAUAAUCAAUUUUGCACUGUAACCCACCAAUUUAUUUUGAGAAAUUCGAAUAAAGAAACGAAUUUUGCCCACCAAAAUGUAAGUCGAGAAUUCGCCCAAGUGUGCCCACAGUGAUAAAAAGUGAAAACCAAAAAUUGCACAGGUGAACUGUACAAGCCACGAUUUCCACGCUUCGCUUCGCGUCGAGGCAGGGAACCAAUGGGCCACGAUAUUAUUUGUGGUCGAUCGAUAAAUGUCACCGCUCACAUCAGAUGUAGAUUGUUCUUUUUUCUUUUUAUCUAUUUAUUUUUGUGCUAAAAAAGAAAAAAACAGUUGAUUGAAGUCGUGAAACUUAUUCACCAUUUUAAUGUUUAGUUUGUAAGCCUACAAGAGAUAACAAAAGAAGAGUAUGUUAUAAAGGAAGCGCCGGAGCGGUCAGCUCCCCUUCUUUAGGGUAUGGUAGAUUUAUCUAAGCAAUCAGGGUUCGAGCCCCCAUAUUACCGUACUCGGAGUGCAGUGGAGCCUCAUUUCCCGAGCCGAAAUGGGAUUAGUCGGAUCAAAGACCUGGAUACCACUCCGUUAGAAAAAAAAGAAAAAAUAUAUAUAAAGGAAGCGCCGAGCUUGGGAGUUAAGGAGACAAAAAGAAGCAAAGAAGAAAAGAAGAAGAAAGAGAGAGACAAAAAUUUAAGCUAAAAAUUAAAACAAGAGAAACAAUUGGUUUGUUUGGAGAGAGAUUAUUUGUUAAAUUUUAAAUUACUUGUAUCAUUAACAUAUUUUUAAUCCUUUUUUGAUCUCACAUACAUGACAUAAAAAAGGUGUUACAAUUUUUUUCCAAAGUGUUUGCGUUUGGAUUGAGUGUUUUUACACCUGUUUUUGAAAAACUGUUUUUCACAUUCCAAAUGCUAUAGUAAUGUGUAUUUCAAAAACAACUUCAAAAACACCAUAUCCAAACAAUAUAUCAAAAAUAACUCCAAAUAUAUUUCAAUUAUGUAUAUUUAAUUUAUAUAUUUUAAUAAGUAUAUUUCAAUUUGUAUAUUUUAAUUAUGUAUUUUAAUAUGUAUAUUUCAAUUAUAUUUUAAUAUAUUUUAAUAUGUAUAUUUCAAUUAUGUAUAUUAUAUAUAUAUUAUAUUAAUAUAAAUAUAUUUAUUUCAAUUAUGUAUAAUAUUAUAUAUAUUAUAUCAAUUGAAAUAAAUAUUAUAUAUUUAUAUAAAUACAUUUAUUUAUAUAUAAAUUUAUAAAUAUAUUUAUUCAAUUUUGUUUUAUAAUAUAUAUUAAUAUAUGUUAAUAUGUAUAUUUCAAUUAUGUAUAUUAUACAUAAAUUAUAUUAAUAAUAAUGUAUAUUAUAUAUAUUAUACAUUUAUAUUAAUAUACAUAAUAUUAAUUUUACAUUUAUACAUAAUAUUAAUACAUGUAUACAUUUAUAUUAAUUAUAUUAAUACAUUUCUACAUAAUAUUAAUAUAUAUUUAUAAUUUAUUAAUUUAUACAUUUAUAUAAUAUUCAUUUAUAAUUUAUACAUUUUUAAUAAUAUACACUUAUACAUUUAAAUAUACAUUUAUAUUAUGUAUUAUAUAUAUUAAUACAUUUAUACAUUUAUAUUAAUAUACAUAAUAUUAAUUUUACAUUUAUACAUAAUAUCAAUACAUAUGUACAUUUAUAUUAAUUAUAUAAAUACAUUUCUACAUAAUAUUAAUAUAUAUUUAUAAUAUUUUAAUUUAUACAUUUAUAAUAUUCAUUUAUAAUAAUAUACACUUAUAAUUUAUAAUAUUCAUUUAUAAUUUAUACAUUUAUAAUAAUAUACACUUAUACAUUUAUAAAUAUAUUUAUAUUAUGUAUUAUAUAUAAUAUAAUACAUUUAUAUAUUUUUAUAUGAAUAUAUAAAUAUAUUUAUUGAUAAAUAUCUUAAAUGUAUUAUAAAUGCAUAUUUAUAUAAAAAUAUAUAAUUUUAUAAUUUGUACAUUUAUAUAAUAUUCAUUUAUAAUAAUAUACAUCUAUACAUUUGUAAAUAUAAAUGGAUUAUAAAUGCAUAAAUGUAUAUUUAUAUAAAAAUAUAAAAAUUAUAAUAUUCUAAAAAUACUCAAAAAUGUGUUUCAAAAAUACCUCUAAAAAUAAUCCAAAAAAAUCUACAGUAAAAGUUUUUCAUAUAGUUUUUGAAAAACAACCCAAAAAACAACUAAUCCAAACGGACUUAUUUUUCAGAUUCAAAAUGCUACAGUGGUGUUUUUGAAAAACAAACCCAAAAACAGCUAAUCCAAACGGAGCCGUUAAUAUUUUGAAAAGUUAAAAUUAAACAAAGUAUAAAUAUAAGAUACGACAAUAAUUAUUAGUAUAUACAAUUACAUGACAGACCGAGUAUUUGUUUAGAGACGAUCACGGAAUCACUGAUUUAAGUGUUUUAAUGAGUAAAUUUUUUAUUAUUUUAGAUAGGUUGUAUGCUCUUAAAAGUGCAAAUUUUUGUUGAACAACACCAUGAUAAUAUAUAUGGAGAGUUUAUUAGCUGAAAUUUAGUGUAUGCUAGGUACAAAAGUUUCUCCAAUCAAGAUUGGAAAGCACGUUUUAAAAAAAAAAAACGGAUAGCACUUCAAAAAUGUUAAAUUAGUUGUGGAAAUGACAUAUGUUGAUUACGUGAUAGAAAGUCAUAUGGCGUCACCAAAUCAAUUCUCUCUUGGUGGAAUGUAACCCUAGAUUUUGCUUUUACGAAUCCCAAGGUUGAGUUCUGUAGUACAGUAGUAUUUUUUUCUCUGGGAUUAACACGCACGCACAGGCUCCCCAUCUUGCAAGGAAUGAGGGCCCUGCUACUGCGCGGAGUGCCUGCUGCCCGUGAUGCACGCUGUUUUCUUCCUCUAGGGAAAGCAUUUAUCUUUCUGGUCCCCUGAAUUAGUCAUGUUCCUCAUUUCUCCCUCCAGAAUAUAUUCUAUUUCUCUCUUUACUUCCCCACGGAACAUAUUAUUUGCUUAGGGUUUAGUAGGAGCAAAUUAGUUCAUUGGGGUCAUAUUAUCAUGUGAGAAUAAGGUUAUAUAAUUAUGAGAGUAUAAAUUUGUAUUAUUUAUAAGAAUAAAUUAGUUUAAAAUUUUAUCAUUUCAAUUCUUAGUCAUCUCAUGAUAAUCAAUACCACAUCUUCCAUAGGAUCAUUUUAUUCUACAAAUAGGGAACUAAUUCGUUUAGUUAAAAUGUGUCAUUCCAUGUAUAAAAUGCAUCCAAAUUUGUGAUGACACAGAAUAAUUAUUCCAAUCUCGUGUCAUUCAUGAACCAAAAGUACCCUUAAUAGUUUACAACAACACCAUUAAUUAUAAAAGAAUGUAUACAUAGAGUAAUUUUGUACUCCUCCUGAUUUCUUCCCUUUUUGAGGGGAUAAAGAACUCUAGGGCAUCUUACAUACUUUUAUAAUUUGUUUAGGAGGGAAGGAGUCGAAGGAAGAUUUGAAGUCAAAACCUUUAUUUUUUAGAAUUUCAAUCAUAGUUACUUACUAGAUCAAAACUUUUCUUACAAGACAUCAUGUCUAUAAGAGCGACAAUUUCUUGAAAAUUUGUAUUAUACUGAAUAUUAUCAAAUAUAAACUUAUUUGUAUCUGGAUCUGUUGGUUAAUAAAUUAAACUUCAGUAUCAAUAAGCUUACGAACUAAACUCAAACCGCGCGUGUUUCGAAUGUUUCGAACUACUCUUUUGUAAUUCAAACUUCUUAGUGUUAAUCAUUAUUUACUGUAUAAGGGCAUCUCAUGUCUUUACCCACCUUACAUGAUUUUAUUUGUGCAGAAAUUGAUUGCUAGUUUGGGACGUUCAGACCAAUCGGUCGAACAUAAUUUUCUAACACUUUGGAAUCGCUAAUUAAAAAAUUCAAGCGUAAAACUGUGAAAGUCCUCCCUCUAUUUCUUUUUAUUUUUUUUAACAUGCACAUUUUAUCCUGAAUCUUCGACGCCUAUGAACCAUAGCUUUGUGAUUAAAGAACUGUUGGAUUUUAGCGUACGAACGAUGAAGACGGCACGAGACCAAAUGAAGCUGCUCCAAGCCUCGACGUUGCUGUCCAAAACACACAGACACAAUCUCUUCUUCUUUGGAGUGGAGUUGUCACGAUGAUGUUAGCUUGAUGUUUGUUAAGUCGGCAUCACAGCUUAGUAAGGAUUCUAAGUUGUCAGAUUUUAGAACUAAUGAUUAGCAUAAUCUAACACAUUACCAUUUUUCAGUUGUCUCGUGACAUCUGCAUCAAUCCUGCACUGUCUUUAAUUUAGGGACUCUGACAUUCUUAUUUCGUUGGAUCCUUCAGUUUUUCAAAAAUUAGUUUUUAAAUAUUAUAACAUUUUUUUAAAAAUACUCUAAACGUAAAAUAUAUUCCAAAAAAUAGUCUAAAUUUUUUUAAUAUUUAAAAAAUAUCCUAAAAUAUAUUUUAAAAACUCUAUUACUCUUAAAUAUUUCAAAAUAUAUUCUAAAAAUAUCCCAAAAUAUACUUUAAACACUCUGAUAUAGUAAAUUUUUUCAAAAACACCCACAAAAACAACUAAUCCAAACACCCCCUAAGAGGUGUCUAGUUAAGAUGUAGUUGACAUUCUAAAAAUAUAAAGUUGAAUAGAAAAAAUUUAUAAAUGCAAUAAUAAUUGUUAACAUAUAUAUUCACACGGUAAUAUAAUAAGUGUAAUUUAAAUGUUACUAACAAAUGAAUUGUUCGUUAGGAAAAUCCUUUCUACAAUUAUGUAUUGGUCUACCGAAUUAAUUGAUCAAUCCUUUGUACAAUCAUGUAUUGGGCUACCGAAUUAAUUCCUCUUAUUGAUAAGUAUAUUGAGAAUAUGAAAAACCAUGAUGAAUUUUUUAACUACGAUCGUUCACCUUUAGCUUUUUAUUAAUUUUUUACGAAUAAAAAAAAUUUAUGAAUCGGUUUAUGGCAGUUAUCCCUAAUGCUUUGAAAAGGGUUCCCAUCUCUGCAGUUCCUUUUCUUUGGGUAUUGUGAAUAUUCAAGAACUGAUUUUUAAGAUACUAGUUGCCCUAUUAUUCAGUCUUAAUUUCCUCAUGUCGUCCUUAUUAAACCCCUAAACUGCGAAACAAGCGGAUUCCCUUGAUUAUGGACGGAACACUAUCAAUAAGUGCCAAAGGAACAAUGGCAAUUGGCAAAGGGAAUGGUUGAUUAUUUUCCACAAGAAUUAGGCAACUGGAGUCGGUUGGUGUAUGUGUCACUCUUAAUAGAAUAUGCUUAACUUCGGAAAUGGGGCAGGAACGGUUGUCUGGCAGUUGACUGCCAUAAUUUAGUCAAAAAAUUUUAUGCGGCUCAAAUCACAUUUUAUAACUUAAUUUUCACACCGCGUGUAGAAUCCAUAAAAAUUUAUUCUAAAGUUACGUCGUGUGCAAAGAAAAUUACAUCGCGUGGAAUCAAAGUUACGCGUAAUGAAAAAUGCACACAACCAACAGAAACGAUUGUAUGUGUAACUGUUUGUGCCCCUUAUCCCCCUAGCUUCAUAAAGAAUGGUAGGUAGUGGACCUACUUCUUUUUUUUUUUUUUUUUUUUUUGUCAAAUAUCAACUUCAAUAUAUAGGGGUAGUGGACCUACUGGUUACUUCUAUAAAGAGAGAGAGAGAGAGAGAAGGAGAGGACACACACAAGGAAGCUCCUACUAUGCAUCUAGACAGCCUAGGCAUAAAUUAGAAUGGGAUUAUUCAUAACAGCAGUAGUGGGGCUAUAGAAAAGUUGUUCAACAAUUAGAGCAACAGCUCUGAUCAUAGUAGCAUUAAAAAAUUAUUGCUACGAAUCAAGAUUGUCUACAUGCCAUAAAAUUUAGGCCUCAAUCUUGCUUUAUUGGAGGACACAUUACAUGUUGUGUGCUGGAGCUUAAGAACUCCUACGGACUAGGAUAGUACCGAAGACGUAUGUGAAGUGUCUAAGCGUCUAUUCCUAUCAUGACAAAUUGUGUGUUUUUGGAAUUCACUAUUGAUACUAAGGUUAUAUUGAUGAGUAAUUUAUAACUAUUUUUUUAGAAAUCUAUACUUUUGGAUUGACCAAUUAUGGUGAUCAGAACCAAAAUCGUCCAAACAUUUUUUUCAUAAAAAAAAAGGUUCUAUCCCUAACAUGGCGUAGAUUUAAGACUUAGAAAUCAUAAUUAUUGAGACACCUUCUUUUGGGGCCUCAAGCAAAAUAUCAAUAAUAAGGUGGCAAAUGUACCAACAAACAAGAAGAGAAGGGGCUACAGCAGCAAUACUUGUAUUCAAUGUAAGGGGUAGAAAAGGACAAAUCACGUGUAGCGACUUGGGCACUCUCUCAAGAAAACGAAACAAUAAAAUAUGCAAAUACCAAUUUAAAGAAGCGAUAUUUUUAGAAACAUCCCCUAUUAGGUCAUUGAAGUCCAAUGGUCACAUCAAUCAUUGAUUAAAUGACUUAAGUACCCAUACAAAUUAAGAGAUAUUUCCCAAUUAUGUUCACAUGAUUAGUUUUUUUUUUUUUUUAGUGUGUCCCGCAAGGAGUGGACCCCGCAGACUAUUCACCACCCUCAGCAACUGUUCACAUGAUUAGUUAAAUUGUUAUUAACUAUAUUUAACAAAAAUAAUGACAAUUUAUAAGUUUUUUUUUAAAAAAAAAUUCUAAUAUGCCAUUACAAAAAGAGGGCCAAAUAUAGGCAUAUUUUUUGUGAUUGAUAAUUAAUGUGUGUGAGUAGAAGCAAUGACUCAGACUUUAGUAGUUUUUAUAGAAUGAGAGAAAUAGAGCUUCUUUAGGCAUAUCCAAAGAUUUAGGAGACUUGACAAGGAAAUUUGCUCUUAAAUUUUUCUCAAAAUUUUCGUAAUUGUGAAAAUCUCAAGGCUAGUUUCUAAGAUUUUUUGCUCUUCAAUUUUGGAAAUUUUUAUUAUUUGAUUGAGGAAGUUAAGGUAAUUCUUGAUGAUCAUGCUUAAUAGUGACCCUGCAAGUGAAAAGGAAUAGCUUGGAUCAAACAAAAAAUGAAAAAUACGACAUUAUGUAGUUUGCAUUAUGUUCUGUAUGGUCUGCUUCAUUUAAUGAUUGGUAUUCAAUUACAAUGUUUUUCUCCUUUUUUUACCCUAAUUGUUACUUUUGUUAUCAUCGCAAAUAAAUGUUGAUGUUGUAUGAAAUAUAGGUAAAUAUUGUUGGUUGUAUGUUACUAAAUUGAAAAACCUUUUAAUUAUGACAAAUUUUUUUUCUUGUUGGUGAUUAUUCAACAAAUGUUUUUUUAAAAUCAAAUUGUUGACUGUAGUAAGGUUUAUAUGUUUUGUUUCUCUUGUAGCAAAUUAUGCAACUGAUAUGUUAUAAUAGAUAUAAUAGUAUGAUAUUACACGUGCAAUAUGUAGAUGAGACUUUAAGUUGGUAACUUGUUGUAAAGUUAGAAUAUUGUUCUUUUAUUUACUCUCUAUGAAUGCAGAAACAACCACACCGCCUCACAUUUGAUAAAGUUAAAAUAGAUAUAUAUUAUUCAUAGUAAAUUAACUAUCUAAUACAAAACUUGAGGUUAGCUAUGGAAUUAAAUUAUUUUAUCUCUCUUAAUACCAAUUUUAUAUUGUUUUUGUAUUUGAAUUGGAUUGAUUUGUUACUAGCUAAUUAGUUUUAGGGGAGGUUUCUGAUAUUUUGAAAAUCUCAGGGGAGACAGUGAGACUGUCACAAACCUCAGGGGAGGUUUCUGAAAUUGUUCCUUUAAAGAAUACACAAAAACAAACAAGCAAACAAACAAGGAUUAAAGAAAGGCCAUUUAUGGUUGGAUAUUAUUUGCUGCAGUUCGCACCUUUCAUCCAUCCAUGCUUUAGAUGAGAGAGGGAGAGCAAGUAGUACAGUAACAGAAGAAGGUUUAAGAGAGAGUUUAGGUCCACCAACUGGUGGUUAGAGAUUGAAAUCCUUAACCAAACAUCAUCAACAACAACAGCAACAGCAAAGAAUAACAAGAACCAAGUAAUCUAAGCAACAACAACAGCAACAAUAUUUACAGCAGCAACAACAACAACAACCAAGAAAGACACUAACCAAGAAAGCUAAGAAAACCCGUUUGAGGAGAGUGAGAAAGAGAAAGAGAAGCGGUCCCUUGACAUCAAAAAGAAAGUGGGCAAAAAGAAAGCUUGUUGGGGCUUUCGCGUAGAAAUAGAGAGAAGAGACAGAUGAGAAAACUGUUCUGUUUGUGUGCGCGUUUUGUGAAGUGCAAGCAGUCUCUCACGUGGGGAUAGUAGAAGAAAGAUAGUAUUAUCAAUUAUGACGAUGGAAUGGAUGGAGAAUAUAUGAUAAGAAAAGACCAAAGAGAGUAAAGGCGUGAUCAUUUUUUUGUACUUUCUACUUUACUUAUUGAAGUCCCUUCUCUUUUUCCUUUUCUUUUUUCCUGUUUUCAUUUUUGAAUUUUGGAGUUCUUGCUCCUCGGUGACUUUCUCUGGGGGUUGUGCGUGUGAGAGAAAGAGAGGGAAUCCGUAGGUGUCUGUGUUUAUGCCUGAAAUUUGAGUCCUGGGAUCGGUAUGUUUCCAUUGAAGGAGGAUUGGCUCUGCCGAUCGGAGCUUUUGUGUUCCCCACAGGACACACAACUGCUACUGGUUUUCAGGUACUUGAAAUAUUUUUAUUUUUUGGAUGUUAGACUAAGUUAAUUCUCUACCUUGACUUUGUUUUCACUAAUUUCUUAGCUGCUCAGGAAUGAACUUGUUUACGUCUUCCAAGGUGCCUGGAGGGGACAAACAAUGACAUAUAAAGGAAAAUCAUAGUACCGGUUUUUUUUUUUUUUUUUUUUUUUUUUUUGGUCAACCAGUGUAAAAUUGCUUGGGUUGAUCAGAAACUGGUGAAGGAUUUGCUGAAUCCGCACAAGUUGCAGAACCAUCACUUCCUACUGCACUCCUGUUGCUGCAUUAUAGUAAUUUUUAACAUAAUAACUAAGAUUGCUUUAAUGACUUGCUGGUUUGUUAGAAGACCUACCAGAAUUAAAUGCACAUGUGGUCAGUAGCACAAAGAAUGCUUGCACAGAAUAUGGAAAAUGGUUGUGGUCUGGUUCUUGAACCUUAAAUGCUUAUGCCGUCUAUGUAGGCUAUUUGAUCAUUGUCAUUUAUUUCUGAAGCCUCCAACUCUUGAAUCUUUCUAGGUGUAUCACACAAAAAUGCAGAGUGCGUUUAUGGGUUUAUGAAUUCUGAGUUUUGCGUAUGGUACUUGUGUACCAUGUCUGUGAAUAUUCAAUUAUUGAAGCAUAUGUUAGACUAGUUCUCUUUACUUAACGUGCAAUGUGACAAUUCUGACUAACUAACAUCGGUGGAUGCGCGCAUUUUAAUCCUUUGUUGGUAAUAGCUUCUUGACUAUGCAGAGGCUGUGAUCACCAGUUAAUGACCUGUUUGAGGAGAUAGUAACUCAUUGAAGUCAAAAUUCUUCAGAAGGGAAAUUCUUGAAUCGGCUAGAAUAGAUGGCUGCAUAUUUUCCUGGUUCAGAAAAUGAAAGAGAUAUGUCAACAAUGCUCCACUUAAGGGAAUCUUUAUCUAGUUCUUAUUCAAAUGCACCAGUGCUUCCUGGAAAUUUGAUGAUGUAUAUGAACUACUCAUCUUCUUCGGGGUCAUAUUCAGGUGCAUUGGCAGGAAAUUCACAAAACCAUGGCAGCAGCAUUACUGAUCUGCUAGUAGCUUCAAGUUCCAAAGCAUCUGAACAAGAAAAUCUGGUUGACCUUGGAGGGCAGAGAUUUGGGGAGCAUGACUUGACUGAAUGGAAAAAUGGUAGAAAUAGCAUGCUAUUAAUGUACCCUGGGGGUGAUGCUGCUGGUGUCCUUCAAAAUCCACAAAACAUGCAGAUUCAGGGAUUAUCUCUUACUCUGAGUACACAUGUACCAUCAGGUUUUCAAGUGUCAUCACUACAAUGUAGUUCUCCUAAUCCUGGUUAUUCUUCCUUGUUGAGCGCUAAUCCAUCUAUACCAGCUGUAGGCACUGGUAGAAAUGGGUACUUUGAAAAUCUUGAUAGUUCCCAAAGUAAACAGUCAAGACACAUCGAGUAUGUUUCUUCUGGCUUUCCAGGAAGCAAUUCAGAUACAGCACGAGCUGAUGUAUCUCCUUAUGGAAUGCCAAGCAUUGCAAGAGCUGUUCCAAAUUCGAAGUAUCUGAAGGCAGCUCAGCAACUGCUUGAUGAAGUUGUUAAUGUGAGAAAAGCUCUCAAGGAGCAUAAUCCAAAGAAGGGUGCAAUGAAAGAUUCCAAAGAAUCACAUGGAGAUCCAAAAAAUGGAGAGUCAGAUUAUCCAAUAUGUGGAUCAUCUACAAAUGCACAAGAAUCAAGCAGUAACUCUGCCAGUGAACUUUCUGCAGCUGAGAAACAAGAUUUGCAGAGUAAAAUGUCAAAGCUUUUGGCAAUGAUGGAUGAGGUCAGUGCACUCCUUUUCUUCCUUCUGUCUUGAUUUUAGUAAUUUUCGAAGGUGUUGUAGAUAUUUCCUUCUUGUGCUCAGCUCUCGUAUUUAAAUUAUCCAAUAUGUGGAUCAUCUACAAAUGUACAAGAAUCAAGCAGUAACUCUGCCAGUGAACUUUCUGCAGCUGAGAAACAAGAUUUGCAGAGUAAAAUGUCAAAGCUUUUGGCAAUGAUGGAUGAGGUCAGUGCACUCCUUUUCUUCCUUCUGUCUUGAUUUUAGUAAUUUUCAAAGGUGUUGUAGAUAUUUCCUUCUUGUGCUCAGCUCUCGUGUUUAACUUUUUCUGAAGAAAGAUAUUCUCCUUAAUAUACAAACUUGCCAAUUAUCCAAAGUUUUGGUAUCUAAAUAACAAACUAUCUGAUGCCCAUAAUUGAAAGUGUUGGAGAAUUUCAGCAGAUGUCUCUUUUUAGACACGUCAGUGUAUAACUUUCUGGGAUGGUGUGUUGUUAAACUCCUCUAUAUUCUCAUCCUCUGCAAUCUAAAAGCUACUAAACUGAUUGCAAUCUCCAGAAAAAAUCCAAACUUUGUACUCUAGCUCCAUAGCUGUGAUAUUUUAUCAUUUACUUUGCCAUAAUAUUAUUCAAAAUUUCAAGUAUUAUUCUUGAUGCUAUCAACGUUUUCUAAUUUGAUGGGUUCAACAGUCCUCAAUCCAAUCCACUGUGUUCCCAGAAUGAUAACUUUAGCUUAAGAAUUCAUGUAGUCAAGACAGGUUGGACUUCUAAAAUGUAGCAACUGGUGUGAUUGAUUAACAAGGACAAUGCUCUGUGUGUGUUUUCCCCCAUUUUGUUGUUCACCUGAAAGGUGGGAAGUGGGAGGUGGAGGGCUAGAAAGAUUCAUGUUCCAGACGUAUUGAUUUUGCAGAGAAAUAUUUUCAUUAUUCUUCUCUUUUUUUCUCUCUCUAAGUAUUAUAACAGUGGACAGCUGAACAGUGCAUUACAGUUGUUUCUGCAUGAUUUCAGGAUUAAGUGGGAAAUGAUGUAAUUGCAAUGACAUUACUUUCUCUUAAAUGAUGUCCGUGUUAGGCUUAAAAAUUUUUAUCGAGUGAUUCUUCCAGUUUAAAACAUGGUGGAUGCUUAGUCAUCUUGAAGAGGUUUCUUACAAGUUUUUUAAGCCUUUUAUGUAGUAUACAGUUCAUUAUCAUUCAUUUAGUAACUGGGGUUUGCUGGGAUUUGGGUCAGAAGAGGAGUUAUGUCAAGAACCUUCAUGCCAUAUUCUAAAGAUUUCCAUGUUUCUUACAGGUUGGAACGAAAUGGUUAAAUAGGAAAAAUGCAUAUACUGGAAUGAUUGAAUAAUCUUCAUAUGUUGUCGUAAAUAGCAGUUUUUAAAAAUGAAUUUCUCGAGAACUGAUGUGACUAGCUCCAAAGUCCUUUGCAUUAAAAGAUUUCUAAGCUUGAGUCAACUCUGCUCUACUCACAUUUGAUGCAUUUCUAAGAUUGCACUAUAUGGUAACAGGUUGACAAAAGGUACAAACAGUAUUAUCAUCAAAUGCAGAUUGUAGUGUCAUCAUUUGAUGUUAUAGCGGGAUCUGAGGCUGCACGACCAUACACAGCUCUUGCCCUCCAGACAAUUUCCCGUCACUUUCGGUGCUUGCGAGAUGCAAUCAAUGUGCAGGUUCAAGUAACAAGGAGAAGUCUUGGUGAGCAAGAUGCUUCAACAAGCAGUAAAGCGAUUGGAAUAUCUCGCCUCCGGUAUGUAGACCAACAGAUCAAACAGCAGAGAGCCCUGCAGCAGCUUGGUAUGAUGCAGCAACAUGCCUGGAGGCCACAGAGAGGGCUGCCUGAAAGUUCUGUUACAGUUUUACGUGCUUGGCUUUUUGAGCAUUUUCUUCAUCCGUAGGUUUUUCCUGAAUUACGUUAUGUCAUUUGUAGUUAUGCAGUUUUCAUUAGUCAGUAAUGGUUGAUCGUUGUAAUAUAUAUAAUGACACUUCUCUGCUUAACAGCUACCCUAAAGAUUCUGACAAGAUCAUGCUGGCAAGGCAGACUGGCUUAACAAGAAGUCAGGUAAAAAAAUCUUAUACUGUAGUAUGUACCAUGAAUGUGUUAAUUUUAAUAGCAUCCAAGAGAGAGCUGAGCUAAUGGUAUCUCCACAUUAAUGAUGCAAAUAUCGAAAAAUUCAAGAUGUCUGUUCUGUAGUUUGUACCAGUGAACUAUGAAAUUCACGUUAUAAAAGUUGAGUGUCCACAAACUUCUUUGUUUGUCUGUUUAUUUGUUAUUUUUUAAAUAUUUGUUAUUUUUAUUUUUUUAUAAUUUAAAAUAAAAGUAUGCAAUUAGAAUAUCACUGGAGGAAAGUGAUAUCUUUUACUCCACUGGAGAAUGGAGAUUACUAUGUCUCUCAUUUUCCUUCUUACACAUCAUGUGAAAUUUUCAGCCUGGUGUGGGCAAGAGAAGGUGCCUUUGAUGGGAAUUUAGGGAACAGAGGGAUUUUUAUUUCGUCUUCUCCUUUUGUGUGUGUGUUUGUGGAGGAUUUUUUCAUCACCUCAGUUAGCAGUCGGAAAAUAAUUUGCCUUCAUGAGAAGUUUAACUGGACAAUGAAUCUCAAGGUGUGAAAGCUUUGCUGCACCUUCUUGUGUUUAUAAAUGAGAAGGAUGAUUGUUUAACUCAUUUUCUGCAUAGCCUUGUGCACUGCAUAGAAUAUAUAGCAAGUUCAUGUAACAAUAUUUUAUUGACACAAACGGCCUGAUCCAGGUCUCAAACUGGUUUAUAAAUGCAAGAGUGCGUCUUUGGAAGCCCAUGGUUGAGGAGAUGUACAAGGAAGAGGCUGUUGAUGCUGAAAUGGACUCCAAUUCUUCAUCUGAUAUUGCUGGAAAAACCGUAGUUGGUGAUGUCAAGGAAUCUGAAGGUAGAGGCGAAGAUAUACUACAAAGUACAACUUCAACAGUUACUGAGCGAUGCAGUGCCGAGCAAUUGAUUGAGUCAAAGUCUGAUUAUUUUCCGGAUGUAGAAAUGAUGGAAACGAAUAUUGGUCGACCAUUUCAGAAUGACUCCAAUGUUUUACCGGAUACAGCAGUUGUUCAAUCAAUAGAAGGCAACGGUAGAUAUAUGGUAGCUUCUGCUGCUGCAUACCACAUGUCUGAGCUGGAAAGGUUUGAGAAUGGCAGUGGAGUGUCCCUCACCUUGGGGUUGCAACACAGCGAUGGAGGCACCGUGCGAAUGCCCAUCCAAACUUACCAGAAUUAUAUCCCCAUGAGAGGGGAUGAUAAGUGCAGUGUAGCAGCACCUUCCAUGGGUGUACAGGCUGCAGAUUUUGACUGCAUGGACUCGGGAAAUCAGCAGAAUCGAUUUGCCUCCUCUCAAACUUUGCAUGAUUUUGUAGCCUGAGAUCGUUACUUUAUUUAGAAUUGAAGCUAUUGUUGAAAGGAAACUGGCAGGGCGGUGAUUUUUUUUCCUUUAAAUGGGCUAUGAGGAGGAGUUUUUGUCUUCCCUGUAUGAGAUGUAAGAUGAGAAUGUUGUAUAUACAUUGUUUGGUAAGAAUAGCUUAUCUGUAAAAAGUAUGUGAUAUACGGUUUUUGGUUUGGCAAGGGAAAAUAGAAAUAUGCAACAUUGAUCUGGUAAUAAAUAUCAAAUUGAAAGGAAACUUUCCAAUCAGAAUGAUAAAGGAACUAGAACUCGUGCAAGCAAAGAUUGUAGAUAGUCACGAGGAGACUUGACUCUCAUACUUUGUACUGUCGAAUUUGAUCUCUGUUUUCUAUUUCCGUCUUUAAGCUUAAUCUUGUACGUCUUCAACUUGCACCCUUUCUGUGCUGUAGGCCUGGCUAUGGUCAAUUAGUACUGAUCAUCUUUUUUUUUUUUUUUUGACGGUGAGAGCAUUUGAAUAAGCAAAGCUACAAUACUGCUGAGCAGCAUAUCACCUGGUUCCCACAACAAUUAACAACUGCAUGCCAAAGAUGCUUCAUUUUGAUAAAUACACAUGCAAUCAGCUUUAUUUCUAGGCACAGCGAAAACUAGCAAUUUCAUCAGCAGUAGGCAUUCACCAUCCAGAGGGUGAGCGCCCCACGGUACUUACCAACGAGGCCGAUAUAUACUGUACAAAAAAAGAAGUUCAUCUGAUAUGGAACAGUCGAAAGUAAUCCAUCUUCAAUGCCUAGAGAACUGAUCUGAAACACCUAAUAAAGCAAAUAGAAACAAAUACAUCCUCAGAUAGAUAUGCAAACAUGACUAGGAUGCUAGUUAUCAUCAAUGCCUGGGGAAUUUCUCGCUUUCAGAGUUGGAUUCAUAGUUUGUACAUUUGAAUCUCAGUAGAUUGUUUAGCAACCUGCCUACACUUCGUAAACUGAAACCAAGAUCACAAUGAUGAUCUACUAUCCAACCAGUCGCAACCUGUUACCACUUAUCUGAAAAUACAAAGUAAACAACAGACAUUCAAAAUAUCAGAUUGAACCUGAAAAAAAUAAUUGAAAGAGGAAAUAAAGCACUUUAAUGCAGACUACUCGAGAAAUAGAGUGUCCUACUCACCUCUUGUAUACAGAGAUCAAAUCCUCCCUCAAUCUGGGUGCUUCCAAGAACAAAUCACCACAAUCUCUUACAUCUACAGCCUCCAUUUCAAAGUCAUGGUGGCCAUAAAACUCGUUCCAUUCGAACCACAUUUUGGCAAUUGACUCUUUCCUAAAGCAGGUUGAGUGGUCUUCCUCUUCCGGCGAACCUGAUGCAACCAAUCUAUACACGUAGACUUUCCUCUCCUGACCAGGUCGGAAUGCACGACCUAUAGCUUGGCGAGUGACUGAAGGGUUCAAAUGCACGUCCAAUAUUAUAAUGCGUGAUGCCCCUACAAGAGAAAUCCCUUCACCACAUGCUCUGAUGGAUCCAAAGAAUACUCGAGCAUCUGAGGAAGUGUUAAACCUUUCCAUAGAAAUCUCCCGUGUGUCAUUAUCUGAAUCACCAGUGAUCAUAAAUAUUUCUUUUCCAACACUAUACCCCUUUGCCUUCACUGUCAACCUCUCCAAGAACUUGAGGGGCAGGAGAAACUGGCUGAAAACCAACAGCUUCUCGCCACUUGAUUCACAGAGCUGAAGGAGAUUCAGAUAAAACUUAGUUUUCACUCCAUCUCUCUCUUCCAAUUUCUCUAAGAUCAUAUCAAUCUUCUCCUCAUCAACCCUGUCUUUAACUACUGAAUUCUUUGAAAGACACUUCAGCUGAGGAUGAACAUAGAGAGCACUCCCUUCAGAACUUAUUUUGAACUUCCUGGACAAUUUCUUCAGCUCUGCAACUUCCUUUUGUUGUUUAGGGCACAGCUUAAGGAGAAGAGUAAAAUCAACAAGUCCCGGAAGUUCAUCCAGGAAAUCUCCCUUGUAAUAGUGAAGUACCUUACUUGUCAUCUCUCGCAAAUCUUGUAUGACUGUUACCUUUCUCUUGAAAUCUUUAUCUUUCAGCAAUGUAUGCUCUACAACUUCAUAGAAUUCGUUGUCUGAACCUUUCCUCAAGAUAUCUCUUCUGCUACUUAUUGAAACUCUGCUCAAGAUACGUCUUUUGAUGCCUUUUGAAGUGCCUAAGCGCAGGAAUUUAGGCCUCACAAGGUUCAAAAUGGUAAAAACUUCUUUGACAUGAUUCUGAUACAGGGUCCCAGAGAGUACGAUUUUUCUCGGUGUCUGAACCUUUUCAAGGGAGGUCAAAACAUCAGUAUCUUGAUUCCUAGGCGUGUGACCCUCAUCUAGUAUAAGAAUUGAAGGGCAAGUUAAAAGGAUCUCUUGGCAGGAAGCUGCAGCCUUGCUGCAAUUUGUGUCGCAUACAAUUGAAGAAAAUUGCUUAUAUCCUAAGAAAAGAAUGCUCCUUUCUUCGGCCCAUUUCCUUAAAACUUCAAGCUGCUGAGUUCUACUAUCUGCUUUGACUGAAUAAAAGUCAAAAAGGGGAAUGUCCUCUACUUGCCAUCUUUGAAAUUCCUUCUUCCAUGUGGCCAAGAUGCCUCUUGGUAGCACAACCAAAGGCCUUGAAAAUGGAUACUUAGCCAUAAAACUCUGUAGAAAACUGAUAAUCAUAAAGGUUUUCCCAGAUCCGGGAGCAUGGGCCAUAAUACAACCACCGGGAUUAUCUGUCAUCAAGUUGCUUAAAAGAAAAUUGAAGCCCUCAAUUUGAUGUGGCUUCAUUUGCUUGCGAUGCCUAGGGUGGGCAGAUAUUUCAGCCGCAGUGAAAUCAUGAGCACAUAACUUAACUCCUCCUGGAGUAUAUUCAGUUUGGUCAGGGUCCUUGGCUGAACGACCUUCAUAUCGGUAUGUUCUGGUACUCCUAGCCUUGAAGAAAAGAAGAAAUCUGUAUUAAUGAAUGACUACCCUAUCCAUGACAAUUGCUGAGUAAUACAUAAAUAUUUUCUGCUGGAGGUCUAAAUUCAUAGGCUAGCGAGGACUGCCAAAAUUUUGUUAAAUGGAGAUAGAAAACAGUGAACUACAUAUGCUGAAAACUCAAAGAUUUCACCUCGAGAUCAUUGGAAAAACAUAUAUGGAGAAACGAGAUAACAUGAACGUAGACAACGCAGGAGGCUAAACUGCUGACUAAUUGAAUCAAAACAGAUUUUCUUCAGUGUAAAGGCCUAUAUAUUAUAUGGACUUCCUCAUGACAGUUUUGGCAUGCAUAUAAGUAACGCCACACAUUACACUGCAUCCUAUCAAGAUCUCUUACCAAUUCAUAUGUGACUACCAAAUACUCAUACUGUAAAAUUAUUUGUCCCAUAACAUUUAACACCACAGAAGAAUGUAAACAUUAUUGUGUUGAUUCGUGUCAAAAAUUUGAAUUGUACUUCACAAAGCCUACUUCAGGUAUUUCCCCACAGCUGUUAAAGAGAAUUGAAAGAAGAAACUUGAAAAAUCAACUUCAGCAAGUACUUGCCAUUUUUUCUCAUUUAGGAAAGCCAAGUAAGGAUUGACACCAAUGUUCUAUUCUUCAAUUUCUAGUUCCAACUCAUUCUUCAAAGGACAAUGAGUAACAAAUAGGAUGCAAAAGUUUUGGAAAGAUUACAAAGUUAACUGUUGCCCAGACAAAGAAAAUUUACUUUUCUCAUCAAUAUCACUUGUAAGAAUUAGUAUAACUUGAGCUUAACUAAGUCAUACAAAUCACUUACCCUAGCACCUCAAAUGAUGAUACUCCUGUUGUAAUUUUAGUGAACAUCUCAUUGGUUUUGCAUCCUUAUAGAAAGACUUAAAUGCUUGAUGCAAAGUUCCAAAUUAAAACGAAACCUGACAGAAAAAAAUUAUAGGGUAAAAAAUAAAAAAGCCCUCUGUGGUAAAUCUAGUAUAUAGAAAAGCCUCCUGUGGUUUCAAAACAUACAACACAACACCUCAUGCUUUGAACUAAAUUGUAAAGGUGACGGAAUACGUUAAAAUAGGGACGGACGAAAUGACAAAAAUGCCCUGAUAUAAUUAAGCAAAAGACAGGUCAACAAAAUCAUUUGUUUCAUUCUAUAGAGAGAAAGAAUUGGGGGCUAAUGGGAAGAACAAGUAUAUUUGUUAAAAUUUGGUAUAAAAAAUUUAUUUUUAGGUUCCAAUAAGUCAUUUCCGUUAAUUUUAACGGAUUCCAUCACCUGUACAAUUUAGUUCAAAGCAUGAGGUGUCAUUUUGUAUGUUUUGAAACCACAUAGGCUUUUCUAUCUAUUAGGUUUCCUAUAAGGGGCUUUUUUGUUUUUUUACCCAAAAUUAUAUGAACACACAUUCUUAGUGCUGCAAUAGAUUAGGUAUUGCAACAACAAAGACAGCUACCAAAAAGCCAUCAAAUGAUAGUUCCAAUAAAAAUAUGCCAGAUUAACCAAGGAGAAGGAACAGAAAACAGUCAAACUCAUCCACAAGAAUAAAUACCCGAAACGUUAAAAGUUCUUAAAAUUUGCUAACCAACACCACAAAGAUAAGAGUAAAUCCAUCUUCCUUUACCCAUACUAUUCAUGUUCGUUUUUGCUAAGCAUCUUCUUUUAUUGACUGUUUUCAAGCAUCUCUACUACUCUGACAAGCAACCACUACUUCCAGUAACUUUAUCCAGAAAACAACCACACUAGCUCUGUAACAUUCCUUACUACAUGUCCAACCUGUCAAAUCUACUAAAGAAAGAGCAAGCUCUAGCUAGUGAUGCGUAGAGCCAAUAAGCAUAAAUGUGACAAUAGACAACAGUCUUUACUUAUAUUAUCAGCAGGUUGGAGUAACUCUUUUGCUCAAAUUGAGAUCUCUUAUUACAGGCAAUCUUGUCAGAUGCUUUAGUCAUAAUGCUAAAAUUUUCAGUAGAACAGCAUAGUUCCUAAAAAAUCUUUGACAUAUUUCUGAAAUAUUAAGUUCGGCUAGAUGUUGAAUGUGUUAAUCUUAUAUAGAACUCUUAUGCUUUUAGAAUGAAGUAGGAUGAUGGCAUCUCCAGCAGAACCAAUGUACGUUUAAGUGGGUAAAGUUAUAGGUCAAAUGCACUGUGUGCAUUGUUGAGUGGUGCAUGAAUUCAAACAUACACAGCACAUAGCCGCUAGCAGCUUCAACACUUUUCAGCACAAAAAUGAGGCUAUUUCCAAAUAUUAAUGCAUGUCAAAUAUUAUUUUCAGGUUUCACUGCAAUGGUUCUAGACUCAAUAAAGGAGAAACAAACCUUUGCAUACUGAUACUCUAUUAUGGUCUCAAUACUUCUCUUAAUGAUUCCACAAACACGACAUACGUAACCAAUAUCAUCUUUUAGUAUAAAAGAAUGAUCACACUCGUCUGCAUCCUCAGCCGCAGGUUCAUCACAUGAAGGUUCUACAGCAGUUUCCUACCAGACAAAGAAAAGGAUUGCAGUGUUGAAGUCAAUGCUGAAGGAAGUUUGAAAAGGAUCAAGUACUGACCGCAGAAAGUAAUAAUUCUUCCUUUUUUUUAAGCAGAAAGUAAUGAUAAAUGAACAAUUAAUGAUUUUGAUUCACCCGGUGACCAGGUAGUUUAGUAAUAUCUUUACAAGUAAAUCAUCAAAGGUAUCUGUAAAAAUUUCAUAGCUGAUAAAUGAAAGGACAGAGAAUAACACCUUUGAAGAUUCCAUUGCAAAUGUCAUCUCUUUCCAGAUAUCAUCCAGGCCAUCAUCAUUAGCGCUGGAGUGCUCAUUGUCAUCCAUGUCAUCCUCUAACCCCACAUAGACACCUUUAUCAUUCUUAUCUUCCAUCUGACUGAUCGAGCUGACAACUCCUGCUCUUGAACGUUGAUUCUGAGAAGAAUUAUAAUUUACAGAUAAUAUGUAAACCAUGCAUCACAGUAUGAUAAUCUACAGUACAACAACAUUGCAUAUAGAUAUUGGCAAAUUAAAAACUAAUCAAGGUAGGAAUUUACUUUCAAAGUUCACACAAACAUUAAAGUUAUCAAACUCUUCUUGUCUACCUUGCAAUUAAAUCAGCCUUUGCCCACUAAGUUGCACUAGGCAUACAUCUAAAUCUUCUUUCUGAACAUUGUAAAUAUAAUGAAUGUAUAGGAUUUAAAAAAAAAAAAUAUCACCAUUCAUAAACCAAUGAUUGUUAAACAGUGUCUCCCAUAUGGAUUCUUACUACAUGUGUCAGUCUCCAAAAUCAAGAAGCAUCAUAAUCUAGAGACAACCUUUCUGUGAGGAUGAUUAGGUUGCUUCAUGUGCAUGAAAUAUGUAUAAAAUCGGGACCAUGGGAGGCAACUAAUUUGGAAGUCCAGAUAAUCUAACACAUAAAUUAUACAAAGAGAUUGAAAUUUUUUCGCUUAGGCUGCCACAGUUUUCCUUCUUAGCCAGUAAUGGUGCUAAAACUAUGACGUGAUCGAGUAUUUCACUUUCAACACGAUUCCAUAAUCUAAAAAGUAAGGCAAUGCUGAUCCAAGAUAAGUAAGCAAAUUUUGUUGAGGAUUAUUAAUCUACUAUUGCCAACCGAUUAUAACACAACCAUGUUGUUUUGUACAAUAUGAGGUAACAUAAGUAGAUCGAUAAAGCCCAGGAACAUUUCCUGUGUUUAAACUUCUUAGAAUUCAAAGAUGGCUUUAACUUACUACAACUGUGCCAUGUCUGAAGAACAACUAUUCACCCAACAUGCAGAAAAAGAAAUGUCCAUCGGUAAUUCAAUGAAAAUUAAGAAUAAGAAAAGUGGCACUAUUCACAUGAGGAGGUUUUAUUUCUCUGUUUUAAGAAAUUUCUCCUUCGAUGUUUUGUUGCCAUAAUCCUGAUUGAAAUAUGAUUCAAUAAAAUCUACCCAUAUUCAUCAAUAAGGAAUAGGAAAAAGCCAUGAAAAACAAUCUUCCUCUUUCACCUCAGCUACAAAAUUUCAAAGACAUUCUACACAAUCCUUUCCUUAGUCAAGAUUGUGCCCUAAAUCCCUUUUUCACUCGCAAUGUCACAAUGCAAGGAAAAUUUAUCAUUUGAAUGACAUGAAAAGAAGAUUCUGCAGAAGUUAUCAGCAACUGAUUCUGUCAAACUUCACAAAUUAAGUCUUCGGAUAGCCAGUUUCUCUCUCUCUCUCUCUUUUUAAUCUGGUUUUGUCAAAUUCUACUUGAUCAAUGAAUAAAGUAUAUGUCAUGUUUAUGGUCCUUCCAUCAUGAUCCAUACACUCUUUUACUCUGGUAUGUCCAGCAACAGAAAUUUAAACAUUAUAUACAUGCAGUGCAGAAAUGUCCCAAACAUCAAAGUUGAUGUUCAGAAAAGAUUUGUUAAUUGUUUGUGCAUUUACUGAAAUAAACUUAAUUAAUCAUAACACACUUACCUCAAAAUCCUUCAAUAGCAAAUUUCUACCUGGAUCUGGCAACACAAUCUCCUGGUAGGGAUAUGCAGAGCCCUCAUUCCUGAGGUCUUCAUCAUCUGAAUCAAGAAUGACAAGAGGCCCAGCUAGAGGGAGAUGCUGUACCCCUGGAACAGACUGCAGUGGAGCAACAGUGCUUGCAUCACAAUCAUCUUCCACAUCAAUGACAUCAACAGAAGUUGAUCCCUUUGUCUCAAACGGCUUUUCACUUGAGUAGUUUUCCAAAUCCAGAUUAGCAAGUGUAGGAUCAACUGCACAGUAAAUACCUAAUAACAGUCGCCUCCGACAAAUAAGGUCCUCCAUAUCCUUGGUAACACUUCCAUAUUUUCCAGAACCCAAUUCUUCCAGCACACUAGACGUGGUAAACGGAUCAGAAUAGUCAAUAACUUUUGCAGAAAGUUUUUGUUUCUUCACAUCCAAUUCCUCACGCCAACAUGCAGAACCAGAUUUCAUGCCUCCAAUUUUCAUCCUCUUCUGUGUUUUCAAAUUAAUAUC
rnacentral:lncRNA from 1 species